AACGAACGCUGGCGGCAUGCCUAACACAUGCAAGUCGAACGAGACCUUCGGGUCUAGUGGCGCACGGGUGCGUAACGCGUGGGAACCUGCCCUUAGGUUCGGAAUAACUCCCCGAAAGGGGUGCUAAUACCGGAUAAUGUCUUCGGACCAAAGAUUUAUCGCCUUUGGAUGGGCCCGCGUUGGAUUAGCUAGUUGGUAGGGUAAAAGCCUACCAAGGCGACGAUCCAUAGCUGGUCUGAGAGGAUGAUCAGUCACACUGGGACUGAGACACGGCCCAGACUCCUACGGGGAGCAGCAGUAGGGAAUAUUGGACAAUGGGCGAAAGUCUGAUCCAGCAAUGCCGCGUGAGUGAGGAAGGCCUUAGGGUUGUAAAGCUCUUUUACCCGGAAUGAUAAUGACAGUACCGGGAGAAUAAGCUCCGGCUAACUCCGUG
rnacentral:rRNA from 1 species